rnacentral:rRNA from 1 species
AACGAACGCUGGCGGCAUGCCUAACACAUGCAAGUCGAACGAGACCUUCGGGUCUAGUGGCGCACGGGUGCGUAACGCGUGGGAACCUGCCCUUAGGUUCGGAAUAACUCCCCGAAAGGGGUGCUAAUACCGGAUAAUGUCUUCGGACCAAAGAUUUAUCGCAUUUGGAUGGGCCCGCGUUGGAUUAGCUAGUUGGUAGGGUAAAAGCCUACCAAGGCGACGAUCCAUAGCUGGUCUGAGAGGAUGAUCAGCCACACUGGGACUGAGACACGGCCCAGACUCCUACGGGAGGCAGCAGUGGGGAAUAUUGGACAGUGGGCGAAAGCCUGAUCCAGCAAUGCCGCGUGAGUGAUGAAGGCCGUAGGGUUGUAAAGCGCUUUUACCCGGGAUGAUAAUGACAGUACCGGGAGAAUAAGCUCCGGCUAACUCCGUG